AUUGAACGCUGGUGGCAGGCUUAACACAUGCAAGUCGAGCGAGCGGCGGACGGGUGAGUAAUGUCUGGGAAACUGCCCGAUGGAGGGGGAUAACUACUGGAAACGGUAGCUAAUACCGCAUACCAUCAGAUGUGCCCAGAUGGGAUUCGCUAGUAGGUGGGGUAAUGGCUCACCUAGGCUACGAUCCCUAGCUGGUCUGAGAGGAUGACCAGCCAAACUGGAACUGAGACACGGUCCAGACUCCUACGGGAGGCAGCAGUGGGGAAUAUUGCACAAUGGGCGCAAGCCUGAUGCAGCCAUGCCGCGUGUGUGAAGAAGGCCUUCGGGUUGUAAAGCACUUUCAGCGGGGAGGCGUUACCCGCAGAAGAAGCACCGGCUAACUCCGUGCCAGCAGCCGCGGUAAUUC
rnacentral:rRNA from 1 species